ACCUGAAACCGUGUACGUACAAGCAGUGGGAGCACAGAGCAAUCUGUGUGACUGCGUACCUUUUGUAUAAUGGGUCAGCGACUUAUAUUCUGUAGCAAGGUUAACCGAAUAGGGGAGCCGAAGGGAAACCGAGUCUUAACUGGGCGUUAAGUUGCAGGGUAUAGACCCGAAACCCGGUGAUCUAGCCAUGGGCAGGUUGAAGGUUGGGUAACACUAACUGGAGGACCGAACCGACUAAUGUUGAAAAAUUAGCGGAUGACUUGUGGCUGGGGGUGAAAGGCCAAUCAAACCGGGAGAUAGCUGGUUCUCCCCGAAAGCUAUUUAGGUAGCGCCUCGUGAAUUCAUCUCCGGGGGUAGAGCACUGUUUCGGCAAGGGGGUCAUCCCGACUUACCAACCCGAUGCAAACUGCGAAUACCGGAGAAUGUUAUCACGGGAGACACACGGCGGGUGCUAACGUCCGUCGUGAAGAGGGAAACAACCCAGACCGCCAGCUAAGGUCCCAAAGUCAUGGUUAAGUGGGAAACGAUGUGGGAAGGCCCAGACAGCCAGGAUGUUGGCUUAGAAGCAGCCAUCAUUUAAAGAAAGCGUAAUAGCUCACUGGUCGAGUCGGCCUGCGCGGAAGAUGUAACGGGGCUAAACCAUGCACCGAAGCUGCGGCAGCGACACUGUGUGUUGUUGGGUAGGGGAGCGUUCUGUAAGCCUGUGAAGGUGUGCUGUGAGGCAUGCUGGAGGUAUCAGAAGUGCGAAUGCUGACAUAAGUAACGAUAAAGCGGGUGAAAAGCCCGCUCGCCGGAAGACCAAGGGUUCCUGUCCAACGUUAAUCGGGGCAGGGUGAGUCGACCCCUAAGGCGAGGCCGAAAGGCGUAGUCGAUGGGAAACAGGUUAAUAUUCCUGUACUUGGUGUUACUGCGAAGGGGGGACGGAGAAGGCUAUGUUGGCCGGGCGACGGUUGUCCCGGUUUAAGCGUGUAGGCUGGUUUUCCAGGCAAAUCCGGAAAAUCAAGGCUGAGGCGUGAUGACGAGGCACUACGGUGCUGAAGCAACAAAUGCCCUGCUUCCAGGAAAAGCCUCUAAGCAUCAGGUAACAUCAAAUCGUACCCCAAACCGACACAGGUGGUCAGGUAGAGAAUACCAAGGCGCUUGAGAGAACUCGGGUGAAGGAACUAGGCAAAAUGGUGCCGUAACUUCGGGAGAAGGCACGCUGAUAUGUAGGUGAAGUCCCUCGCGGAUGGAGCUGAAAUCAGUCGAAGAUACCAGCUGGCUGCAACUGUUUAUUAAAAACACAGCACUGUGCAAACACGAAAGUGGACGUAUACGGUGUGACGCCUGCCCGGUGCCGGAAGGUUAAUUGAUGGGGUCAGCGCAAGCGAAGCUCUUGAUCGAAGCCCCGGUAAACGGCGGCCGUAACUAUAACGGUCCUAAGGUAGCGAAAUUCCUUGUCGGGUAAGUUCCGACCUGCACGAAUGGCGUAAUGAUGGCCAGGCUGUCUCCACCCGAGACUCAGUGAAAUUGAACUCGCUGUGAAGAUGCAGUGUACCCGCGGCAAGACGGAAAGACCCCGUGAACCUUUACUAUAGCUUGACACUGAACAUUGAGCCUUGAUGUGUAGGAUAGGUGGGAGGCUUUGAAGUGUGGACGCCAGUCUGCAUGGAGCCGACCUUGAAAUACCACCCUUUAAUGUUUGAUGUUCUAACGUGGACCCGUGAUCCGGGUUGCGGACAGUGUCUGGUGGGUAGUUUGACUGGGGCGGUCUCCUCCUAAAGAGUAACGGAGGAGCACGAAGGUUGGCUAAUCCUGGUCGGACAUCAGGAGGUUAGUGCAAUGGCAUAAGCCAGCUUGACUGCGAGCGUGACGGCGCGAGCAGGUGCGAAAGCAGGUCAUAGUGAUCCGGUGGUUCUGAAUGGAAGGGCCAUCGCUCAACGGAUAAAAGGUACUCCGGGGAUAACAGGCUGAUACCGCCCAAGAGUUCAUAUCGACGGCGGUGUUUGGCACCUCGAUGUCGGCUCAUCACAUCCUGGGGCUGAAGUAGGUCCCAAGGGUAUGGCUGUUCGCCAUUUAAAGUGGUACGCGAGCUGGGUUUAGAACGUCGUGAGACAGUUCGGUCCCUAUCUGCCGUGGGCGCUGGAGAACUGAGGGGGGCUGCUCCUAGUACGAGAGGACCGGAGUGGACGCAUCACUGGUGUUCGGGUUGUCAUGCCAAUGGCACUGCCCGGUAGCUAAAUGCGGAAGAGAUAAGUGCUGAAAGCAUCUAAGCACGAAACUUGCCCCGAGAUGAGUUCUCCCUGACCCUUUAAGGGUCCUGAAGGAACGUUGAAGACGACGACGUUGAUAGGCCGGGUGUGUAAGCGCAGCGAUGCGUUGAGCUAACCGGUACUAAUGAACCGUGAGGCUUAACCUU
rnacentral:rRNA from 1 species